rnacentral:rRNA from 1 species
UGGGGAAUAUUGGACAAUGGGCGAAAGCCUGAUCCAGCCAUGCCGCGUGUGUGAAGAAGGUCUUCGGAUUGUAAAGCACUUUAAGUUGGGAGGAAGGGCAGUAAGCGAAUACCUUGCUGUUUUGACGUUACCGACAGAAUAAGCACCGGCUAACUCUGUGCCAGCAGCCGCGGUAAUACAGAGGGUGCAAGCGUUAAUCGGAAUUACUGGGCGUAAAGCGCGCGUAGGUGGUUCGUUAAGUUGAAUGUGAAAGCCCCGGGCUCAACCUGGGAACUGCAUCCAAAACGGGCGAGCUAGAGUAGGGCAGAGGGUGGUGGAAUGUCCUGUGUAGCGGUGAAAUGCGUAGAUAUAGGAAGGAACACCAGUGGCGAAGGCGACCACCUGGGCUCAUACUGACACUGAGGUGCGAAAGCGUGGGGAGCAAACAGG